AUAAUGUUAAGAAGAUUUUUCGAUGGAGACGCCAGCCAAGAAAGAACUAACUAAAUUUUGAAAAUUCUAACAAAGUUUAAUGCUGAUGUUAUUGAAAGUUAGAUACAACAAAAUAAGGAGGUACUACAAAACAAUGUAGUUGCAUACUAGGUUCAAAUAAUGAGGGAAGAAGAACCAGACUAAAAAUAAUACAUAAAAAAUAAUUGAAAACAAUACACAAGAAUGAAGUAAAAAUUGUUGACAAUUAAUACCGCUACCAACAUAAGAAAGUUGCAGUACUACAAAAAAAAAAAAAAAGAAGAUGCAACUAAUAAUAAUGCUACACUCUCAUAACUUCUAAUUACAACACAAAAUCAGUUAUUUGCAUGUUGCUAAGA
rnacentral:lncRNA from 1 species